rnacentral:rRNA from 1 species
UACGGAGGGAGCUAGCGUUGUUCGGAAUUACUGGGCGUAAAGCGCGCGCAGGUGGUCUUUCAAGUCAGUGGUGAAAGCCCGGAGCUCAACUCCGGAAAUGCCAUUGAAACUGUAAGACUUGAGGAUGAGAGAGGUGAGUGGAAUUCCCAGUGUAGAGGUGAAAUUCGUAGAUAUUGGGAAGAACACCGGUGGCGAAGGCGGCUCACUGGCUCAUAUCUGACGCUCAGGCGCGACAGCGUGGGGAUCAAACAGG